rnacentral:rRNA from 1 species
UACGUAGGGGGCAAGCGUUGUCCGGAAUUAUUGGGCGUAAAGAGCGUGUAGGCGGUCCGGUAAGUCGGCUGUGAAAGUCCAGGGCUCAACCCUGGGAUGCCGGUCGAUACUGCCGGACUAGCGUUCGGAAGAGGCGAGUGGAAUUCCCGGUGUAGCGGUGAAAUGCGCAGAUAUCGGGAGGAACACCUAUGGCGAAGGCAGCUCGCUGGGACGUUACUGACGCUGAGACGCGAAAGCGUGGGGAGCAAACAGG